UACGUAGGGGGCGAGCGUUGUCCGAAGUUACUGGGCGUAAAGCGCGCGUAGGCGGCUUCUUAAGUCUGAGGUGAAAGGUUCAACGCUCAACGUGAACAGUGCCUUGGAUACUGGGAGGCUUGAGUAUGGGAGAGGGCAGUGGAAUGGCUGGUGUAGCGGUGAAAUGCGUAGAUAUCAGUCGGAACACCCAUGGCGAAGGCAGCUGCCUGGCCUAAUACUGACGCUGAGGUGCGAAAGCCAGGGGAGCAAACGGG
rnacentral:rRNA from 1 species